CUAAUGACGGUACCGUAAGAAUAAGCACCGGCUAACUACGUGCCAGCAGCCGCGGUAAUACGUAGGGUGCAAGCGUUAAUCGGAAUUACUGGGCGUAAAGCGUGCGCAGGCGGUUAUAUAAGACAGAUGUGAAAUCCCCGGGCUCAACCUGGGAACUGCAUCCAAAACUGGCAAGCUAGAGUAGGGCAGAGGGU
rnacentral:rRNA from 1 species